rnacentral:rRNA from 1 species
GUGGGGAAUAUUGGACAAUGGGCGCAAGCCUGAUCCAGCCAUGCCGCGUGAGUGAUGAAGGCCUUCGGGUUGUAAAGCUCUUUAGCCGAUGAUUAUAAUGACUGUAGUCGGAAAAUAAGCCCCGGCUAACUUCGUGCCAGCAGCCGCGGUAAUACGAAGGGGGCGAGCGUUAUUCGGAAUCACUGGGCGUAAAGCGUGCGUAGGCGGCUUUGCAAGUUGGGAGUGAAAGCCCAGGGCUCAACCCUGGAAUUGCUCUCAAAACUGCAAGGCUCGAAUUCGGGAGAGGAUAGCGGAAUUGUCAGUGUAGCAGUGAAAUGCGUAGAUAUUGACAGGAACACCAGUGGCGUAAGCGGCUAUCUGGACCGAUAUUGACGCUGAGGCACGAAAGCGUGGGGAUCAAACAGGAUUAGAAACCCGGGUAGUCC